GGAGUUUUUAGCUCAGUGUUAGAGUGCAAGUUUAGUAUGUAUAACGUCCUGGGUUCAAAUCCCAGCUUCU